AUUCCACGUGAGACAGCAUAUGUUAUUCUCUUUCGAUAGAAUAUGGUUAGCAAAACUUAGCAUCCUAGCUUGAUUUUCAAGCUCAAUGUGAAACCUUAAGUAAUUCAAAGUUCAUGCAUGUUGAAGAACAAUUGUGCCCACACGCAGAUGUUUACUUUCUAACACUAUCCAGCGUACUUGCUUAUUUCUUGCCCUUUAUAGCGACCAACCCUCUUUGAAUUACCGUAGAGUAGAUAAGAUUUAACAUUUCAAGGCAAAUA
rnacentral:lncRNA from 1 species